AAACCCGUGGUCCUGGACCAGGAGCUCCCCUCCAGCCCACAGGACUGGGCUCGCUACGCCUGUCCUCAGCAGGCCCGGCUCAUCUUCAGAACCAACAGCAACCCCCACUGUGUCAACACACUCAGCAUCACCAAGCAGACUCAAAGCCUGUUUUAUCUCGACCUUCUGGAGAGAUAGUUGUGCUCACUCUCACUCGACCACCUGACCUUACCCAUCAUGCAUCUUGCCGAGACCAUUGCCCACGACCUGUUGGAUAGGAGCGGCCUCUCCGACCUCUACCGACUUCGAAUUGUGAGGCGCUGCAGUCAGCUGGGUCUGGAGACCCAUUCCCCGUACCAGGAGAAGCUCCUGAGUCUAAGUCGAAUCCAAGAACAAGAACAGAUGAGAGGGUGGAGGGGGAUGGAGUGGUUGGCUUUGGGCAGCAGAAGAGGGAAGUGAGUGCUCAGCACAUCUGGCUGGACAAAGCUGAUGUUUGCCUCGGUCUCGGACUCCAUCAGGCAGCCAGGCAGCUGCUGGCAGAGGCCCACUGUGUGGCUGAGGAUCACUGACUGCUUCCCUUGCAGCCUGUAAACCUUUUCUCUACCUUCAGCUCUAGACUCUCAUCAUGAGCUGAGAAGGAA